rnacentral:rRNA from 1 species
AAACUAACUAGGAUUCCCUUAGUAACGGCGAGUGAACCGGGAAAAGCUCAAAUUUGUAAUCUGGCUGUCUUCGAUAGUCCGAGUUGUAAUCUAUAGACGUGUUUUCCGUGCUGGACCGUAUCUAAGUCCCUUGGAACAGGGUAUCAAAGAGGGUGACAAUCCCGUGCUUGAUACGACCACCAGUGCUCUGUGAUACACGCUCUACGAGUCGAGUUGUUUGGGAAUGCAGCUCAAAAUGGGUGGUAAAUUCCAUCUAAAGCUAAAUAUUGGCGAGAGACCGAUAGCGAACAAGUACCGUGAGGGAAAGAUGAAAAGCACUUUGGAAAGAGAGUUAAACAGUACGUGAAAUUGUUGAAAGGGAAACGAUUGAAAUCAGUCGUGUUCUUUGGAUUCAGCUAGUUCUUCUAGUCUACUUCCAUUGAACGGGUCAACAUCAGUUUUGUCCGGUGGAUAAAGAUAGUAGGAAUGUAGCUCCCCCGGGAGUGUUAUAGACUAUUAUUGCAUACACUGGGUGAGACUGAGGACUGCAGCUCGCCUUUUGGCCGGUCUUCGGACACGUUCGAGCUUAGGAUGUUGACAUAAUGGCUUUAAACGACC